CAAGCAAGUCCGAGAGGGUUAGUUGAAUGUACAGAAGUCAGCAGAAGCCAUAGUAGGCAAGUUGUUGCAACAGGUUGCUGAAGGGC
rfam:Paenibacillus sp. FSL H8-0548 NODE_28_length_91407_cov_1.77348_ID_11334, whole genome shotgun sequence.